AUUGAACGCUGGCGGCAUGCCUUACACAUGCAAGUCGAACGGUAACAGGUCUUCGGAUGCUGACGAGUGGCGAACGGGUGAGUAAUGCAUCGGAACGUGCCCAGUAGUGGGGGAUAGCCCGGCGAAAGCCGGAUUAAUACCGCAUACGACCUGAGGGUGAAAGGGGGGGAUCGCAAGACCUCUCGCUAUUGGAGCGGCCGAUAGCAGAUUAGGUAGUUGGUGAGGUAAAGGCUCACCAAGCCGACGAUCUGUAGCUGGUCUGAGAGGACGACCAGCCACACUGGGACUGAGACACGGCCCAGACUCCUACGGGAGGCAGCAGUGGGGAAUUUUGGACAAUGGGCGCAAGCCUGAUCCAGCCAUGCCGCGUGUCUGAAGAAGGCCUUCGGGUUGUAAAGGACUUUUGUCCGGGAGCAAAUGCUGGUGGCUAACAUCCACCGGAGCUGAGAGUACCGGAAGAAUAAGCACCGGCUAACUACGUGCCAGCCGCCGCCGUAAUAC
rnacentral:rRNA from 1 species